rnacentral:rRNA from 1 species
AGAGUUUGAUCAUGGCUCAGAACGAACGUUGGCGGCGUGGAUUAGGCAUGCAAGUCGCGGGAAUCCCAGCAAUGGGGGAACCGGCGUAAGGGGCAGUAAGGCGUGGGUACCCACCCCGGGGUCCGGGAUAGCCCGCCGAGAGGCGGGGUAAUACCGGAUGACCUCGGGAGAGCAAAGCUCCGGCGCCCCGGGCGGGGCCCACGUGAUAUUAGCUGGUUGGCGGGGUGACGGCCCACCAAGGCGGAGAUGUCUAGCGGGUGUGAGAGCACGACCCGCGCCACUCGCACUGAGACACUGGCGAGACACCUACGGGUGGCUGCAGUCGAGGAUCUUCGGCACUGGGCGCAAGCCCGACCGAGCGACGCCGCGUGUGCGACGAAGGCCUUCGGGUUGUAAAGCACUGUCGAGGGGGAGAAAAGCCGCAAGGCUUGAUCUAUCCCUGGAGGAAGCUCGGGCUAAGUUCGUGCCAGCAGCCGCGGUAAUAC